rnacentral:tRNA from 1 species
GCGGGCGUGGCGGAAUUGGUAGACGCACCGGACUUAAAAUCCGUUGGGCGGCAACGCCCGUGCCGGUUCGACUCCGGCCGCCCGCACCA